AAUGAACGUUGGCGGCGUGGAUUAGGCAUGCAAGUCGUGCGGAAAGGCUCCUUCGGGAGUACUCGAGCGGCGAAAGGGAGAGUAACGCGUGGAUAUCUACCCCCUGGACUGGGAUAGCGGCGGGAAACUGCCGGUAAUACCAGAUAAUGUCUGCGGACCAAAGGUGUGAUUCCGCCGGGGGAUGAGUCCGCGUCCUAUUAGCUAGUUGGUGGGGUAAUGGCCCACCAAGGCAAAGAUGGGUACCGGGUGUGAGAGCAUGGCCCGGCUCACUGGGACUGAGACACUGCCCAGACACCUACGGGUGGCUGCAGUCGAGAAUCUUCGGCAAUGGGCGCAAGCCUGACCGAGCGACGCCGCGUGCGGGAUGAAGGCCUUCGGGUUGUAAACCGCUGUCAGAGGGGAGGAAAUGCAUGAGGGUUCUCUCUCAUGUUUGACCUAUCCUCAGAGGAAGUACGGGCUAAGUUCGUGCCAGCCGCCGCGGUAACAC
rnacentral:rRNA from 1 species